AAAGGUAUAGCUUAAAUAAAGCAUUUUGCUUACACCAAAAAAAUAUUUGUUAACCCAAAUUACCUUAA
rnacentral:tRNA from 2 species